rnacentral:tRNA from 1 species
GGAGAUGUGGCUCAAUUGGCAGAGUGCUUGCCUUGCAUGCACAAGGCCCUGGGUUCAAUCCCCAGCACCACCA